CCAUCCCGGACUCCUCGACACCUUCCCCCAAGGCAUCGUGCUGGGAGUGACCACCGGCUCCCUCCUCCUGCUGGCUGCAGUCUGCUACUGUGUCAUGAAAAAAGAGGCCUGCAGUGAGAGAUGCCAGAGGCAGCAGCAACUUCCCAGCCAAGAGCCAGAAGAGAUCAACUACACUGAGAUACAAUGCAAGUACCACCUCUCCCCUCUGCGUAAGCCACGGUCUCCUCUGUCUGCGGGGACCCCCUGCUCCUCCGCUGGAUGCCCUCCGGCCCUGCCAGCAGCCCUGCGCCCAUCGGCUGGCUGUGCCGCCCUCUCCACAGCUG
rnacentral:lncRNA from 1 species